rnacentral:rRNA from 1 species
AGUGAACGCUGGCGGUAGGCCUAACACAUGCAAGUCGAACGGCAGCACAGUAAGAGCUUGCUCUUACGGGUGGCGAGUGGCGGACGGGUGAGGAAUACAUCGGAAUCUACUUUUUCGUGGGGGAUAACGUAGGGAAACUUACGCUAAUACCGCAUACGACCUACGGGUGAAAGCAGGGGAUCUUCGGACCUUGCGCGAUUGAAUGAGCCGAUGUCGGAUUAGUUAGUUGGCGGGGUAAAGGCCCACCAAGGCGACGAUCCGUAGCUGGUCUGCUAGGAUGAUCGGCCACCAUGGUGCUGCGACACGGUCCAGACUCCUACUGGGGGCAGCAGUGGGGAAUAUUGGACGAUGGGCGCAGGCCUGAUCCAGCCAUACCGCGUGGGGGAAGAAGGCCGUCGGGUUGUAAAGCCCUUUUGUUGGGAAAGAAAAGCAGCAGGUUAAUACCCCGCUGUUCUGACGGUACCCAAAGAAUAAGCACCGGCUAACUUCG